rnacentral:rRNA from 1 species
AACGAACGCUGGCGGCAUGCCUAACACAUGCAAGUCGAACGAUCCCUUCGGGGAUAGUGGCGCACGGGUGCGUAACGCGUGGGAACCUGCCCUUAGGUUCGGAAUAACCCAGAGAAAUUUGAGCUAAUACCGGAUAAUGUCUUCGGACCAAAGAUUUAUCGCCUUUGGAUGGGCCCGCGUUGGAUUAGCUAGUUGGUGGGGUAAAGGCCUACCAAGGCGACGAUCCAUAGCUGGUCUGAGAGGAUGAUCAGCCACACUGGGACUGAGACACGGCCCAGACUCCUACGGGAGGCAGCAGUGGGGAAUAUUGGACAAUGGGCGAAAGCCUGAUCCAGCAAUGCCGCGUGAGUGAUGAAGGCCUUAGGGUUGUAAAGCUCUUUUACCCGGGAUGAUAAUGACAGUACCGGGAGAAUAAGCCCCGGCUAACUCCGUG